rnacentral:rRNA from 1 species
GUGUCAGCAGCCGCGGUAAGACGGAGGGUGCAAACGUUGUUCGGAAUCACUGGGCAUAAAGCGCACGUAGGCGGCGCACUAAGUCAGGUGUGAAAGCCCCCGGCUCAACCGGGGAAUGGCUCCUGAUACUGGUGGGCUAGAGGAAGGUUGGGGUGAGUGGAACUCCUGGUGGAGCGGUGAAAUGCGUAGAUAUCAGGAGGAACACCGGUGGCGAAAGCGGCUCACUGGACCUUUUCUGACGCUGAUGUGCGAAAGCUAGGGUAGCGAACGGGAUUAGAUACCCCGGUAGUCCUAGCCGUAAACGAUGGGCACUAGGCAGGGGGAACGCCUAAGGUUUUCUCUGCCGUAGCAAAUGUGUUAAGUGCCCCGCCUGGGGAGUACGCUCGCAAGGGUAAA